CCUACGGGAGGCAGCAGUGGGGAAUAUUGGGCAAUGGAGGAAACUCUGACCCAGCGACGCCGCGUGCGGGAUGAAGGCCUUCGGGUUGUAAACCGCUUUCAGCAGGGAAUAAGCGCAAGUGAAGGUACCUGCAGAAGAAGCACCGGCUAACUAUGUGCCAGCAGCCGCGGUAAUACAUAGGGUGCAAGCGUUGUCCGGAAUUAUUGGGCGUAAAGAGCUCGUAGGUGGUUUGUUACGUCGGUUGUGAAAUUCAGGGGCUCAACCCCUGACUUGCAGCCGAUACGGGCAAGCUAGAGUUUGGUAGGGAGACUGGAAUUCCUGGUGUAGCGGUGGAAUGCGCAGAUAUCAGGAGGAACACCGAUGGCGAAGGCAGGUCUCUGGGCCAAUACUGACACUGAGGAGCGAAAGCGUGGGGAGCGAACAGGAUUAGAUACCCUGGUAGUCCACGACGUAACGGUAGGCGCGUAGUGUGCGACUACCUACGUUGUGUCGCGCAGCUACGACAUAGACGCCCGCCGUCGGGAGGUACGAGUCGCGAGAGUAAACGUAACUAAGUAGUUAGUUAGUAGCGUUGAGAGNGCGAGGACGACGACGAGGAGGAGG
rnacentral:rRNA from 1 species